rnacentral:misc_RNA from 1 species
UUUCCGUAGGUGAACCUGCGGAAGGAUCAUUAAUGAGUUGUCAUGGGGUUCGAUGCUGGCAGCCAAUUUUUGGAUGCAUGUGCUUGCCCUAGCAAUCAUCUUCCAAACACCUGUGCACAUUUUUGAGGGAGCCUUGAGUUGGUUGCCGCUCUUGGGUGAUUUUCUCACAUUCCCUUAAAUCAUUAUACGCUAUUAACAAUGUUGAACGUGCUCUGUGCCGCAAGGCUAUUAAUAUAAUACAACUUUUAACAACGGAUCUCUUGGCUCUC